UGUUUGAAAGAGGAGUACAUUGAAGAAGCAGAAGGCAAGCUAUGAUCCUAUUGACUUUGAAAACAUUGAUUUGGUGGACUUUUGGGUGACUGAAGA